rnacentral:misc_RNA from 1 species
GAUGAAGAACGCAGUGAAAUGCGAUAAGUAAUGCGAAUUGCAGAAUUCAGUGAGUCAUCGAAUCUUUGAACGCACAUUGCGCCCUGUGGUAUUCCGCAGGGCAUGCCUGUUCGAGCGUCAUUUCAACCCUCAAGCCCCGCUUGGUGUUGGGCCCCGCCCGCUGUGGCCGGCCCUAAAGACAGUGGCGGCGCCGCCUGGCCCUCAGCGUAGUACAUCUCUCGCUCCAGGGUCCGGUGGCCGCCUGCCAGAACCCCCCAACUCUGUGGUUGACCUCGGAUCAGGUAGGGAUACCCGCUGAACUUAAGCAUAUCAAUAAGCGGAGGG